AUCGUUUCUCGGCCUUUUGGCUAAGAUCAAGUGUAGAUUUAUAAAAAUGAAUUUAACUGGGUAUAGUGGCACACACCUGUAAUCCCAU
rnacentral:sRNA from 1 species